rnacentral:misc_RNA from 1 species
GUAUUUUGAAUUAAGUAUUCAUAAUAUUUUUCAGACAAUUUGGUUUAUAGAAAGAGUUGAUGUAUAAAGAAAUCUCAUCAAUAAAGAUGAAAAUUCUUAACAUUGCACACAAGGUGGAUAUGGAUUUUAAAAAGUGCCAUAAACACUUAUUAUGAAUGAUCCUUCCGCAGGUUCACCUACGGAAA